UGGUGGUUCUUUCAAAAUCAAAACAGAGAGAAUAAAAAAAACACAAACUUGUAAACUUUAUUUAUUAUUUACUGUAAUGUAAUCUCUCUAUAACAACACCACCUACGUAUUGGCCUUAUUGCUUACGGCGUAUUUAUACAUAUAUGGAAAGAUCCUGUGUCCUUCCCUACAUAUAAAGAUUCUGUUUUUCCAGUUUUUUUUUUGUUUUUUUUCUGAAUCAGAUCCUUAUUCUUGACCCCUUUCGAUCAGAUUCAUGGCAACGACUCAAUCACACACCUCAGAUCUUACUUCUGGUAAAGGCAAAGUGUGAUCGUGGAAUCAAGGCUAUGAAGAGGAGGAUGUUCUAGAUGCUUUGUUGUUUGCUAUGUGUCUUUGUUAGGAUGCUAAAGUGGAAUUUAGUGGUCUAGAACGCAUGUUAGGAUUGCUGGUUUAUAAUUUAUUUUAUGUUCAGGAUUGUUAUUGGAAUGGUGUUAUGUUAUUUCCUUUAAUGGUUAUUGGUUAUUGGAUUCAUUA